AGCGCAGGCGGGAAGGUAAGUCUAUCUUAAAAGUGCGGGGCUCAACCCCGUGAGGGGAUAGAAACUAUCAUUCUUGAGUGCAGGAGAGGAAAGCGGAAUUCCUAGUGUAGCGGUGAAAUGCGUAGAUAUUAGGAGGAACACCAGUGGCGAAGGCGGCUUUCUGGACUGUAACUGACGCUGAGGCUCGAAGGCCAGGGGAGCGAACG
rnacentral:rRNA from 1 species